UAGCUAGUUGGUGGGGUAAGGGCCUACCAAGGCGACGAUCGGUAGCUGGUCUGAGAGGAUGGCCAGCCACACUGGAACUGAGACACGGUCCAGACUCCUACGGGAGGCAGCAGUGGGGAAUAUUGGACAAUGGGGGCAACCCUGAUCCAGCAAUGCCGCGUGUGUGAAGAAGGCCUGAGGGUUGUAAAGCACUUUCAGUGGGGAGGAGGUUGGUUUGGUUAAGAGCUGAAUUAAUGGACGUUACCCACAGAAGAAGCACCGGCUAACUCCGUGCCAGCAGCCGCGGUAAUACGGAGGGUGCGAGCGUUAAUCGGAAUUACUGGGCGUAAAGAGUGCGUAGGUGGUUAGAUAAGUUAUCUGUGAAAUCCCUGGGCUUAACCUGGGCAGGUCAGAUAAUACUGUUUGACUCGAGUAUGGGAGAGGGUAGUGGAAUUUCCGGUGUAGCGGUGAAAUGCGUAGAGAUCGGAAGGAACACCAGUGGCGAAGGCGGCUACCUGGCCUAAUACUGACACUGAGGCACGAAAGCGUGGGGAGCAAACAGGAUUAGAUACCCUGGUAGUCCACGCCGUAAACGAUGUCAACUAGCUGUUGGUUAUAUAAAAAUAAUUAGUGGCGC
rnacentral:rRNA from 1 species